rnacentral:lncRNA from 1 species
GCUGCUGCCCAGCAGUAGCUGCCCACAAUUUAAUUUUUUUUUUAAAAUAUAAUUAGUAAAAAUCAAAGUAGACACUUACUUGAUAGGCAGUGGCGGAAGUGGCGGCAGUGGCGGUAGUGGCGAGCGGCAAUGCAGUAGUGGCGAGAGGAGCGUCCAGCAGCAGCGACAGUGACGGGAUCAACGGCAGCGGCGGCGGCGGCGAUUUCGGCAAGGAGAGAGGAGAGGAGAGGAGAGGAGAGGAGAUGAAGUGGGCG